rnacentral:rRNA from 1 species
AGUGAACGCUGGCGGCAGGCCUAACACAUGCAAGUCGAGCGGCAGCGCGGGGGCAACCCUGGCGGCGAGCGGCGGACGGGUGAGGAACACAUCGGAAUCUACCUUCUUGUGGGGGAUAACGUAGGGAAACUUACGCUAAUACCGCAUACGACCUGAGGGUGAAAGCAGGGGACCGCAAGGCCUUGCGCGAGAAGAUGAGCCGAUGUCCGAUUGGGUAGUUGGUGAGGUAAAGGCUCACCAAGGCGACGAUCGGUAGCUGGUCUGAGAGGAUGAUCAGCCACACUGGAACUGAGAAAAGGUCCAGACUCCUACGGGAGGCAGCAGUGGGGAAUAUUGGACAAUGGGCGCAAGCCUGAUCCAGCCAUGCCGCGUGUGUGAAGAAGGCCUUCGGGUUGUAAAGCUCUUUUGUUCGGGAAGAAAUCUUCCGACCUAAUACGUCGGGAGGAUGACGGUACCGAAAGAAUAAGCACCGGCUAACUUCGUGCCAGCAGCCGCCGUAAGAC